rnacentral:lncRNA from 1 species
GAUCUGAGGUGGGGUGAGGAUGAGAGGGAAGAUCUCAAGUGGAAUUUGAAGGUGGAGCCAAUGGGAUUGGAGGAGGGAGGAGCUGAUGGCUUGGAUAUAAGAGGCAGGAGGAAGGGGGUAGGGCGGGAGGACCGCUCCAAAGCUUCAGGUGUACACAACCAGAAGAAUGGACUUCUCCAAUGUUGAGCCCGGGGCACUGGAGGUGGAGUCUUUUUUUUCAGGCAAUCCCUUGCCACCACUAUCUGUGAAAUGGGGACGUAAUCUGAUUCUGUCCUCGCCCCAGGGGAAAACCCCGGAGAAUUUCAUAUCCUUUGCCUCAUGUGUAAUGGCCUGGAGCACUUCACAGAACUCCAUUCUCUUCUCCAGUAAAAAAACAAUUAAGGAUUGUUUCAAAGGAUUCUUGCAACAUGCCUUAAUAGCUAGCCAGUAUCCCGUGGUGUUCAAUCUCUCUCGCUUGCGUGGUGACAAAAUUCUUCCUUUCAGACUGCUAGCAAGCUCUGCCUCUCUGGAGGGAGGCAGAGUGGAAAUGCCCCGCAGCUCUGGCUCCUGGGCGGCUCACGGCAGGCACAGGUGA